UCCGGCUUAUCACCGGCAGUCCCUCUAGAGUGCCCAGCUAAAUGAUGGCAACUAAAGGCGAGGGUUGCGCUCGUUGCGGAACUUAACCCAACAUCUCACGACACGAGCUGACGACAGCCAUGCAGCACCUGUGUAAAGGUUCUCUUUCGAGCACUCCCCAAUCUCUCGGGGAUUCCUUCCAUGUCAAGGGUAGGUAAGGUUUUUCGCGUUGCAUCGAAUUAAUCCACAUCAUCCACCGCUUGUGCGGGUCCCCGUCAAUUCCUUUGAGUUUUAAUCUUGCGACCGUACUCCCCAGGCGGGGCACUUAAUGCGUUAGCUGCGGCACCCAGGGGGUCAAUACCCCGGACACCUAGUGCCCAUCGUUUACAGCGUGGACUAC
rnacentral:misc_RNA from 1 species